rnacentral:rRNA from 1 species
UACGUAGGGGGCAAGCGUUGUCCGGAUUUAUUGGGCGUAAAGAGCGCGCAGGCGGUCGAUCAAGUCGAGUGUGAAAGCCCCCGGCUCAACUGGGGAGGGUCAUUCGAUACUGAUCGACUCGAAGGCAGGAGAGGGUAGUGGAAUUCCCGGUGUAGUGGUGAAAUGCGUAGAUAUCUGGAGGAACACCGGUGGCGAAGGCGGCGUUCUGGACUGCAACUGACACUGAGGAACGAAAGCCAGGGGAGCAAACGGG